UAGGGAAUAUUGGUCAAUGGGCGAGAGCCUGAACCAGCCAUGCCGCGUGCAGGAAGACGGCCUUCUGGGUUGUAAACUGCUUUUAUACAGGAGCAAAAGGGCGAUGCGUCGCACAUUGAGAGUACUGUAUGAAUAAGCACCGGCUAACUCCGUGCCAGCAGCCGCGGUAAUACGGAGGGUGCAAGCGUUGUCCGGAUUUAUUGGGUUUAAAGGGUGCGUAGGCGGUUGAUUAAGUCAGUGGUGAAAGGUGUCAGCUUAACUGACAAAUUGCCAUUGAUACUGGUUAACUGGAGUGCAGUUGAGGUAGGCGGAAUUUAUGGUGUAGCGGUGAAAUGCAUAGAUACCAUAAAGAACACCGAUAGUGAAGACAGCUUACCAAGUUGUAACUGACGCUGAGGCACGAAAGCAUGGGUAGCGAACAGGAUUAGAUACCCCCGUAGUCC
rnacentral:rRNA from 1 species